GAGUUUGAUCGUGGCUCAGAUUGAACGCUGGCGGCAGGCCUAACACAUGCAAGUCGAGCGGAUGACGGGAGCUUGCUCCUUGAUUCAGCGGCGGACGGGUGAGUAAUGCCUAGGAAUCUGCCUGGUAGUGGGGAACAACGUUUCGAAAGGAACGCUAAUACCGCAUACGUCCUACGGGAGAAAGCAGGGGACCUUCGGGCCUUGCGCUAUCAGAUGAGCCUAGGUCGGAUUAGCUAGUUGGUGGGGUAAUGGCUCACCAAGGCGACGAUCCGUAACUGGUCUGAGAGGAUGAUCAGUCACACUGGAACUGAGACACGGUCCAGACUCCUACGGGAGGCAGCAGUGGGGAAUAUUGGACAAUGGGCGAAAGCCUGAUCCAGCCAUGCCGCGUGUGUGAAGAAGGUCUUCGGAUUGUAAAGCACUUUAAGUUGGGAGGAAGGGCAGUAAGUUAAUACCUUGCUGUUUUGACGUUUAGCGACAGAAUAAGCACCGGCUAACUCUGUGCCAGCAG
rnacentral:rRNA from 1 species